rnacentral:lncRNA from 1 species
AUGGGGUGGAGCCACGGAAGUUCGCGCCAUUUGCAGAGGGGAGGAGCCCAGCCUCUUGCGUUCCUGUGUGAUGGGGCCGGAGCCAGUAAACAGGCUUCCUUCUCGCUCUGCUGUAUAAGAAGAAGAAGUAGGAGAAACAAAAUAAGGAGGAGAAGAAGUAAAAUAAUUUGAGAAGGAAUAUGAAGGUGAAACAUGAAGAUGAUGGUGGACAGGUGAGCUACGCAGUUCGUGGAAGAACCAGGGGUCACAUGGCCUAGAUGCUACCCUAGAUGAGAAAGAGUCCAAUGGUUAUCAACAAGUUCUGAAAGGCAAGGCCUAAGGUACUGAAAAUUAUAUUACUCAAAGCUGAAGGCAGCAAAUCUGUUCAUGUUUACACAGUUGGGAAAGUGGACUUGUGUUUUUUACAAGCAAACCAGUGACCAGCCAAUGGCAGGAGACCUUCCCCACCCCUAAAGGUGAUGCUCACCUACCGUCAUGGGUAAAAGGAAGCUCUGGCUCGAAUUCCUCAUGUAUUAUUCAUGUGUGAUGCCACCCAACGUGAUUCAGAGAAGAAAAUUCUCAGUGUGUUCACCAGAGGUGAUUACAUGAGAAUAAAGCACGGCCUGAUUUUUUUUCUUGUUCACAGGAAAAAAAAAA